AGCUGGGUUAACUUAGUCGGUACAGUAUGAGAUUCUUAAUCUCAAGGUCGUGGGUUCGAGUCCUACUUGGGUAA